GAUGAAGAACGCAGCGAAAUGCGAUACGUAAUGUGAAUUGCAGACACCGUGAAUCAUCGAAUCUUUGAACGCACAUUGCGCCCCCUGGCAUUCCGGGGGGCAUGCCUGUCCGAGCGUCAUUGCUGCCCUUCAAGCCCGGCUUGUGUGUUGGGUCGUCGUCCCCCCCGGGGGACGGGCCCGAAAGGCAGCGGCGGCACCGCGUCCGGUCCUCGAGCGUAUGGGGCUUUGUCACCCGCUCGAUUAGGGCCGGCCGGGCGCCAGCCGGCGUCUCCAACCUUCUAUUUUACCAGGUUGACCUCGGAUCAGGUAGGGAUACCCGCUGAACUUAAGCAUAUCAAUAAGCGGAGGA
rnacentral:misc_RNA from 1 species